CUUGGGAUGGGCUGUCUACCCCCAUCCAUGACUUGAAGGGGUUAAAGUGGCCAGGUGGGCCAAUGAACAGCCCAGGCUACCCCUGAAGGAGGAGCCCGGGGGCAGCAAUUAAGUCGAUGAUGCUCAGCUGCACGGGAAGAGGAGGGGUCUGCAUAAAGACAAGGAGUUGAGAGCAGAAAGUGGCUGCAGGGAAGCAGGCUGCAGUCGCUCCCUGGGUGGGAGAAGAGAGGUGUUGGGGCUAUAGAAGCAAGGACCCUACAGUUACUCUCUGGGAGGAGGGUGUUUGGGCUGGCAAACCCCGAGAGAGGGAGGAGAACCAGAUAGGCAGGAAAGGCUAAGAGGAAAAGUAGCAAGGCAUGUGACAGGGUGGGCCCGGGUUCCCCUACCAGCCACUGGCACAAACCAGGCAAUGGAGGGCAGACCGCCUGGGACAAUUUUUGCUGGAAGACUUUGGUACCCAGGAAGGGGGAGACCCGCAUAGUGACCUGGCUGGAGGACCAAGUCAGGGAGAAGGGGCAGCUGGAGUUGCAGAGACGAGGAGACUGCCAGAGGCCAUCCCAGCACCAAAGUGGAGCUAUCAGGCAGAGGCACCCCUAGUGAGACGCAGCAAGGAAGGCAGGAGAAGCCGGUAGCAAGGACGUAGGGAGAGCCAUCAGGCGACAGCUUUGAACCCCAAAGGGAAGUGCCCUCCCCUAAAUGUGUCCUACACUCCCUGGGCAGGGAACAGAGAUGAAGAGGCCAUACAGAACCAAACCUAGCCCCGGAGCAUGGCAAGACUUCAGCAUGAAUUCAACUGUAGGUGCUUUGUUCUCUUUGACGUCACUGGACCAGCGAGCUUUAGCAGACGAAGGCCUUUCAACUGUAAGCUGGGUUUAUUUACUCAGCAUCUCUACAAAGCUCUCAGCACAACGGGGACCCUCAGGCUCUAAAGAUGAAUAAAAAGGAAAUUGUUUGGGGGAUGGGGCACCUGAGGCAGGGACAGAGUUGGCUCACUGAGCCAGAUUCACCCCGGCUCCGGCAAAGGGAUAGAGACGAGGCAGCGCGUGACGCCUCUAUUGAGGGGCUGGUGCAGCUGUAGGCGCCAGCUAGGGAAGUCUUGAGCUCCAGCAAGCACGCUACCCCUGGGUCAGUGCCCCCUAUGGGUCUGGCCAGGGGGCGUAGUGUAAGAGACACUUUGGCCACACCCUCUAACCCUGAUCCGCCCCCUCCAGCCUGCUCUUACGAAC